rnacentral:rRNA from 1 species
UUCUAUUAGAAGUUAUUAAUAGUAAAAUCUGCUCCAUGUAUAAUAAAUAGCCGCAAUUUGUGCUAAGGUAGCAUAAUCAUUUGUCUUUUAAAUGAAGACUAGAACAAAAGAUUUAACAUUUUCAGUUUAUUUUCCUAAUUCAUCCAAUCAAAUUUGUCCUAAAUGUAAAAAGACAUUUAUAUAAAAGAAAGACGAUAAGACCCUAUUGAACUUAACUGCAGUUAAACUGGGGCAGUAAAUUAAUUAUUAUUUUAAUAAAAUUCAUUCUACAAAUAUCUAAUAAAAUUAAAUAAUUCAGUUACCAUAGGGAUAACAGCGUAAUAAUCUUCUAAAGAUCUUAUUUAAAAUAUAGAUUACGACCUCGAUGUUGAAUUAAUAACCUAAUUAAGGCAAAACUUAAAAAAGGAAGUCUGUUCGACUUUUAAAAAAUUACAUGAUUUGAGUUCAGACCGGUGUAAGCCAGGUCGGUUUCUAUCUUCUAAAAAAUUUUUUACAGUACGAAAGGACCUAAAAAUAUAAUA